rnacentral:rRNA from 1 species
GCGUGUGUGAUGAAGGCCUUCGGGUUGUAAAGCACUGUCGGGAGGGACGAACGGCUUGGUGUAACGGCCAAGAUUGACGGUACCUCCAAAGGAAGCACCGGCUAACUCUGUGCCAGCAGCCGCGGUAAUACAGAGGGUGCAAGCGUUGUUCGGAAUCACUGGGCGUAAAGCGCGUGUAGGCGGCGUCGUAAGUCUAAUGUGAAAUCCCUCGGCUCAACCGAGGACGUGCAUUAGAUACUGCGGCGCUCGAGUCCCGGAGGGGGUGGUGGAAUUCCAAGCGUAGAGGUGAAAUUCGU